rnacentral:rRNA from 1 species
GAUGAACGCUGGCGGCGUGCCUAAUACAUGCAAGUCGAGCGAACAGACGAGGAGCUUGCUCCUCUGACGUUAGCGGCGGACGGGUGAGUAACACGUGGAUAACCUACCUAUAAGACUGGGAUAACUUCGGGAAACCGGAGCUAAUACCGGAUAAUAUAUUGAACCGCAUGGUUCAAUAGUGAAAGACGGUUUUGCUGUCACUUAUAGAUGGAUCCGCGCCGCAUUAGCUAGUUGGUAAGGUAACGGCUUACCAAGGCGACGAUGCGUAGCCGACCUGAGAGGGUGAUCGGCCACACUGGAACUGAGACACGGUCCAGACUCCUACGGGAGGCAGCAGUAGGGAAUCUUCCGCAAUGGGCGAAAGCCUGACGGAGCAACGCCGCGUGAGUGAUGAAGGUCUUCGGAUCGUAGAACUCUGUUAUUAGGGAAGAACAGAUGUGUAAGUAACUAUGCACGUCUUGACGGUACCUAAUCAGAAAGCCACGGCUAACUACGUG